GUGCUCGCUUCGGCAGCACACAUACUAAAAGCGGGACAAUACAGAGAUUAGCAUGGCCCCUGUGCAGGGAUGACACCCAAAUUCAUGAAGCGUUCCAUAUUUUA
rnacentral:snRNA from 1 species